rnacentral:lncRNA from 1 species
AAGGAGGAAAUGGGAGUCCUCUUUCCACCUGGUGGCUAAUUAGGCUGCAAGCUUAGAACCAUCCUUCCAUCCUUUUAGGUAAGACUGAAAAUGAUGAGAAGCAGUGGAGACUGGGGCAGCCAGGGAGACCAAAGCCGUCUACGCCUGAAUCCGUUUUCUUGGGACUUUUCAGGAACAUCCUGUCCAGAGGAAAGGAUAUUUAAGGAGAAAGGAAGCAGCACACGUUCAACUCAGCCAAGGAACAGAGGAAGGACAUCCCAAGAGCAAAAACCUCGACCAGGACCGAUCCAGGCUGCAGAUCCUCCCUCAGUGACAUUUUUCUAGACCUACCAAGAAGAUGUGGUUUUCUAUACUCUGUGGCUUUUGAAGUUGAGGAGCUACAGGGGUACUAUUGCCUGAGAGUCUCCUCCUGAGAAGACAACAUGGAAGAUAUCAGGGUCUCCAGGUGCAGAUCAGUGAGUACUUACCCUGUGGCCAUCAUUCCGGCUGUGCCUGAAGCUCAUGAAACUCCUGGGACUUCCAAUUCUAUGAGUCAAUAAAUUUUGUUA